rnacentral:rRNA from 1 species
ACGGAGGGUGCAAGCGUUAAUCGGAAUCACUGGGCGUAAAGCGCUCGUAAGCGGUUUGGUCAGUCAGAUGUGAAAGCACUCGGCUUAACCGGGGAACUGCAUUUGAUACUGCCAGACUUGAGUGUCGGAGAGGGUGGCGGAAUUCCGUGUGUAGGAGUGAAAGCCGUAGAUAUGCGGAGGAACACCAGUGGCGAAGGCGGCCACCUGGACGACAACUGACGCUUAGGAGCGAAAGCGUUGGGAGCAAACAU